GCUUGCAAGCUAUGCAAUUUGAAAUCAAACAUCAAUAUUGAAUCUGCAGUGGCUAUAAUAAGCUGCAGAAUUCUCCUUUUAUAGCAAAUUCCUUGAAAUUCAAAAAUUAAAAUAGUUUUAAGAUAACACAUAUAUUCUUGAAAGUGGACAUAAUGCAUUUUAUAUUUCUAAAACGAAGAAUGAAGAGCUGCAAACAAGAGAAAGAGAGGUGGAGGUGAACAGUAAGAGCAAGAUGGAAUACAAAAUGGUGAAGAGAAAAAAACGAGGGAAUGAGGUCACAUAAAUGAAGUUGGGGAAUGAAAGUAGGGACAAUGUUGUAAUUGUCUUAUUAAUGUGUUUCAUUCCAUUGGGAACACCUCAAAUUGGGGGGAAUGGAAAAUUGGUUAAAUGGGUGGUAUUGGAUGGAAUGGGUUCCAUCACACUCCAUUCCAUUCCAUUCAUUUUUUACAAAACCAAACAAUGGAAUAUGGAUCUAUCCCACUCCAUUCCAUUCCAUUCCACCACUCUCCAUCAAUCCAAACAU
rnacentral:lncRNA from 1 species